AUGCCCAGUGAUUAUAAAAAGACGCGUUAUUCUGAGGAAUACAACCUGCUACCAGUCUUGCUUCUACCUUUUACUCUGUCUUUAAUCUCCAUCUUUCCUGUCCUUCCUCCACUCUUCUCCUCUUUUCUUCAAACUGGUUGCUGGUCCGCUGACUGCGAUUAUGAGAGAUGAGGGCAU